GACCUAUCCGAUGGCCUCGUGGUUAGAGCGUCCGCCAUAGAUGCGGGAGUUCACGGGUUAGAUCCCCGGCGGAGUCA